GUAUGUGCUGCGCGGUGGCGCGAUCGUCGCCUGGUACGUGCCGGAGGGCACCGAUCCGCACACCCCGUUCCGGAUCGUGGGCGCACACACC
rnacentral:tRNA from 1 species